GUUUCGGUGCCAUGAGAUCAUGAAUGCGUCCCCCAGGGAAUGUUUGCCCAGUCCUGCUCUGGAGCAGAAAUUGAGACAUUUCUUGUUCUUUGCAGUUGCAAAGAGGUCUAUUGUUGGGUAACCCCAGAUGCUGAAUACGUUGUGAAUGGUUUUCUCGUCUAUCUCCCACUCGUGGUCCCAUGGGAAGCGUCUGCUCAGUUCGUCCGCUGUGGUGUUCAUGAUUCCGGGAAGAUAAGCAGCUGAUACCCGGAUGUUGUUCACAAUGCACCAAUUCCAGAGCUUCAUAGCCUCUGUGCACAGCGAAUGGGAACGAGCUCCGCCCUGCCUGUUUACGUAAAACAUGCAAGCAAUGUUGUCCGUCAUUAUGCGUACGUGAUGAUGUUUGAUUAGUGGCAGGAAGUGACGGCACGCGUUGCGAAUGGCUCGAAGUUCUAGUACAUUUAUGUGCAGGGAGGUCUCGGUUGGUGACCAUAGUCCCUGUACUGUGUGAUGAGACAUAUGUGCACCCCACCCUGUCAUAGAUGCAUCGGUGGUCAGAAUGCGUGAUGGAGCCUGUUGAAGAAACGGGACUCCAGAACAAAGGUUGGAGUGGACGGUCCACCAACGUAGCGAGUCUUUGACUGGAGUAGGCAGGGAGAGAGUCUUGUUUAAAGAAUGCAUAUUCGGUUUGUAAACCGUUGCCAGCCACGCUUGGAAGCACCUCAUGUGUAGGCGUGCAUUCUGGACGACAAAAGUGCACGAGGCCAUGUGACCUAGUAGUUGCAGGCAGUCUCGGGCAGUUACCUGAGGGCUGUUGCGAAUAGUUGUGGUCAGUUGUUUUAUGGAAUUGUAGCGAUCGGGUGGGAGCGAUGCUAGCCCGGUCCGAGAGUCGAGGUCUGCGCCUAUGAACUGAAGGUGCUGGGUGGGGCGUAAUGUGGAUUUGUCUCUGUUUAUUUGUAGGCCGAGAGAAAGAAAGCACUCGACUGAGUCGUGUGAACCGGAGCGCCUCGUCGAAUGUUGAAGCUUUGAGGAGGCAAUCGUCGAGGUGUCUGGAGACCUAAAGACCGGAGGGUUGUUCUGGAGUCUUUCAUUGAAUGAAGCACUUCAUUCGUGUUAGCAGCAAAGAGUUUGUCACCGUCGAAGGGAAGAUCUUCAGUUGUGUUCUGAACUUCGCGAGGAAAAAAGGAAGAGGAGAGCCAUGAGCCCCGUCGCAUGACUAUCGCUGUAGCGGUAGAUCUUGCCGCUGUGUUGGCUACAUCGAGGGCUGCUUGGAGAGCGGUGCGUGAAAUGGCUUGGCCCUCAGAAACUAUAGCUCUGAACUGUUGUUUUCUUUGUUCUGGAAUGUCAUCAAUAAAGUCCAUUAACUUA